CCUACGGGAGGCAGCAGUGGGGAAUAUUGCACAAUGGGGGGAACCCUGAUGCAGCGACGCCGCGUGAAGGAAGAAGUAUCUCGGUAUGUAAACUUCUAUCAGCAGGGAAGAAAAUGACGGUACCUGACUAAGAAGCUCCGGCUAAAUACGUGCCAGCAGCCGCGGUAAUACGUAUGGGGCAAGCGUUAUCCGGAUUUACUGGGUGUAAAGGGAGCGUAGGCGGCAUGGUAAGUCAGAAGUGAAAGCCCGGGGCUCAACUCCGGGACUGCUUUGGAAACUGUAGAGCUUGAUUGCAGGAGAGGUAAGUGGAAUUCCUAGUGUAGCGGUGAAAUGCGUAGAGAUUAGGAGGAACACCAGUGGCGAAGGCGGCUUACUGGACUGUAAAUGACGCUGAGGCUCGAAAGCAUGGGGAGCGAACAGGAUUAGAUACCCUGGUAGUC
rnacentral:rRNA from 1 species